GCUUAAUUGCACUUUUGGACCCCUAUCUUUCCAAAAGUUACGGUUAUGGACCCCUAACUAAUUUAAAUACAAAACAGCCCCCUAUGUUUUGAUUCUUUGGCAAUUUUGGACCCCCAAGGCAAAAAAAACAUAAAAAAUUUGACACGUGGCACCUCACUUAAGGUGCCACGUCAGCGUUGACCGAGUCAACAAUGGACUGGGGGUCCAAAACUGCCAAAGAAUCAAAACAUA
rnacentral:lncRNA from 1 species